GAAGACUGCCGGGAUCCAGGUCUCCGGGGUCCGCUUUGGCCAGAGGCGCGGAAAGAAGCAGUGCCCGGCGACACUGCACCCAUCCCGGCUGCUUUUGCUGCGCCCUCUCAGCUUCCCAAGAAAGGAAACUGAGGCUCAUAGAGUUAACAUAGCAUGGCCUAUGUGUUAGUCUGUGUUCAUGCUGCUGAUAAAGACAGACCCAAGACUGGGCAAUUUGCAAAAGAAAGAGGUUCAUUGGACUUAUAGUUCCACAUGGCUGGGGAGGCCUGACAAUCAUGGCAGAAGGCAAGGAGGAGCAAGUCAUAUCUUACGUGGAUGGCAGCAGGCCAAAAAAGAGAACUUGUGCAGAGAAACUCUCAUUUUUAAAACCAUCUGAUCUUGUGAGACCCAUUCACUAUUACGAGAAUAGCAUGGGACAGACCUACCCCACAUGAUUCAAUCAUCUCCCACUGGGUCCCUCCCACAACAUGUGGGAAUUAUGGGAGCUACAAGAUGAGAUUUGGGUGGGGACAAGAUUUCUAAAAGCCAAACCAUAUCAGCCUGUGUAAAAGCACAAAGCAAGACAUGAUGCUGAGACUCAUCUACGCAUUUUAUUCUAGAGUUAGGAAGAACUUCCAAUUGUCCCACCUCUGGACUAGAACUGAGGACUUAGACU
rnacentral:sRNA from 1 species